AGUACGUGAAACUGCUUAGAGGUUAAGCCUGAUGAACCUGAAUAUCUAUUAAUGGAAAAUUCAUCACCAAUUAUAUAAUAUAAUAUUAUAUUGUAAAAAUGGUGUGCAUUUUUUCCAUAAAGGACAUUGUAAUUGGUUAAUAAAUUAAAAGUUUAUCAUAAAAUUCAUUAUAAGAGAUUAUUCUAAUUAAAUUUCUUUUAAUUUAAUAUUGAAUAAAUUUUAUGAAUUUGAUAGACUGUUGACCAAUUUAAUAAUAAUAAUGUUAAAAAAAUUUCUUUGAAAUUUUUACAAUAUUUCUUUAUAUAUUCUUUGAAUAUAUAUUCAUUUAUUGUAUACAUUUUUAUGAUUUACAAUGCUAUAAAUUCAGGAUACCUUCGGGACCCGUCUUGAAACACGGACCAAGGAGUCUAACAUAUGUGCAAGUCGUUGAGUAAUUUAAAUAAAACUCAAAGGCAUAAUUAACUUAACUGUAUUUAAUGGGAUUAAUUUAUAUAAUAUGUAUAUAUCUUAUAAAUUCAAUCCCAGGGCGUUCUAUAUAGUUAUGCAUAAUAAUAUUUAUAUUAUUUAUGUCUCUAACUG
rnacentral:rRNA from 1 species